UAGCUAGUUGGUGAGGUAACGGCCCACCAAGGCGACGAUCGGUAGCCGGACUGAGAGGUUGAACGGCCACAUUGGGACUGAGACACGGCCCAGACUCCUACGGGAGGCAGCAGUGGGGAAUAUUGCACAAUGGGGGAAACCCUGAUGCAGCGACGCCGCGUGGAGGAAGAAGGUCUUCGGAUUGUAAACUCCUGUUGUUGAGGAAGAUAAUGACGGUACUCAACAAGGAAGUGACGGCUAACUACGUGCCAGCAGCCGCGGUAAAACGUAGGUCACAAGCGUCGUCCGGAAUUACUGGGUGUAAAGGGAGCGCAGGCGGGAAGACAAGUUGGAAGUGAAAUCCAUGGGCUCAACCCAUGAACUGCUUUCAAAACUGUUUUUCUUGAGUAGUGCAGAGGUAGGCGGAAUUCCCGGUGUAGCGGUGGAAUGCGUAGAUAUCGGGAGGAACACCAGUGGCGAAGGCGGCCUACUGGGCACCAACUGACGCUGAGGCUCGAAAGUGUGGGUAGCAAACAGGAUUAGAUACCCUGGUAGUCCACACUGUAAACGAUGAUUACUAGGUGUUGGAGGAUUGACCCCUUCAGUGCCGCAGUUAACACAAUAAGUAAUCCACCUGGGGAGUACGACCGCAAGGUUGAAACUCAAAGGAAUUGACGGGGGCCCGCACAAGCAGUGGAGUAUGUGGUUUAAUUCGACGCAACGCGAAGAACCUUACCAAGUCUUGACGUCCUGCGACGGUUCUGGAAACAGAACUUUCCUUCGGGACGCAGAGACAGGUGGUGCAUGGUUGUCGUCAGCUCGUGUCGUGAGAUGUUGGGUUAAGUCCCGCAACGAGCACAACCCUUAUGGUCAGUUACUACGCAAGAGGACUCUGGCCAGACUGCCGUUGACAAAACGGAGGAAGGUGGGAUGACGUCAAAUCAUCAUGCCCUUUAUGACUUGGGCUACACACGUACUACAAUGGCGUUAAACAAAGAGAAGCAAGACCGCGAGGUGGAGCAAAACUCAGAAACAACGUCCCAGUUCGGACUGCAGGCUGCAACUCGCCUGCACGAAGUCGGAAUUGCUAGUAAUCGCAGAUCAGCAUGCUGCGGUGAAUACGUUCCCGGGCCUUGUACACACCGCCCGUCACACCAUGAGAGCCGGGGGGACCCGAAGUCGGUAGUCUAACCGCAAGGAGGACGCCGCCGAAGGUAAAACUGGUGAUUGGGGUGAAGUCGGAACAAGGUAGCCGUAGGAGUACCUGCGGCUG
rnacentral:rRNA from 1 species